AGAGCGCGUUCUGGACCGUCAAGACGCAAAGUUAAAUUAAUCCUAGCCGUCUAUACCCCCUUCUCAUAAUCUAUAAAUAGGAUUGAAGAGCCAUUCAUUCAUUCCAUAGCCUGCAUCGGGUGAUGGACUCCUUUGUUGGGUCUGAUGAUAGAUAUAUUAACAAUUAUUCCAAUAAUUUUUAGAAGGAUUGGGUUUUUGGUGCGAUUGCCUGGUCCAGGAACAAGUAUUCCGGUAAUUUCUUGAUUAUGAUGGGUUGGAUCUUGGGUUUUCUUUUAUGUUUCUUUGGUGGUUUUGGCCCGUUUUCUUCAUUUUAGAGGUACUUCUUCCUUCCUUUCUUCGGCGGUAUUCUUCUUUUAAUAUUAUGGUGAAUUCUAAUCUUUUCGUAAUUUGAACUUAUUUCAAUUACCUUAUUGAGAGUGGAAAAUUUGAUGGAGUUCUUCCCGUGUAGAUACUUUUUAUUUUUAUUGAAAAUUUUGGAUAUUUAUUUAUUACUAAAUCCUAACGCGAUGAUAUAUCAUGAUUAUUAUUCCAAGAAUCUUUGGCUGGGGGUUCGAGACCAGUUAGUCCCGACGGAUCCAAUAAAUACAUCAAUUAAUUUCAUAUGUCAGGGGGCAGAAUUCAAUUUCCAAAACAAAGGGGCUUUUUUCUUUCCUAUUUUUCCAUUUUUUUAAGGUCCCAUCGAAGAAAUUAUAUGCUGUGAUGGAGAUUUCCCCCAUAUUCUCCGAUCUUUGCAAAAACUUUUUGUUUCUUGCAUAAAUCCUAACCUGAAAAUAUCAUCAUUACUUGUUAAGAUGAUAGAGACAUAUGGACAAUUAUGCCAAGAUUCUUCUGAAGGAUUGGGCUUUUGAUGUUCUGCUAUUUCUUUCUUGCUUUGCCGCAGAUGUUGCUCUUCGUGUUUUGUGUCUCUUCAAUCUAUUGGUGAUUUGAACUGAUUUCGUGUACUGGGUUGAGAGUUGGAAAUUUAAAUGGUUUAUGGAGUUUAUCCCUCUUUAGAAUUUUUUAUCUUUGAACAAACUUUGGAUUUCUCGUUUAUUUUCAGAAUCCUUAUGUGGAUAUAUUCUGAUUUCGUAUCGAAAAUUAUUCCAAGAAUCUUCUAAAGGUAUUGGUUUUUUGUGCCAAUGCCUAUGAAAUGAGGUGAUUAACUUUUCUUGAAACGGUUAUUGGCAUGUUUAAUAUACUAAUUCCUUUAUUUGAUGGAUAUAGAUUCUGAAAUAUAAAAAUCGUGGACGUUUGUUCAAACAGACACGUGUGGUUAAUUGGUUAUGGUUCCAUCAGUUUCCAUUAUACAGUAUCUUGAUCCUGAAGGUAUUUUCCAAGACUAAAGGUUUACGAUCAGAACAAGUGUUGCACUUCAGUUAGACCUUCUUUCUUGCUUACUUCUAUUAUGUAAGAUUUGUGUUGUGGUACAAGGCAGUUCUGAAGUGAAAUCCAUUCAUUAUUUGCUGCGGUUUAUAAGUUGUCUUUCAAAUGCAGUAUUUUGAGGGGAUCCGUCUAUGAAGGGACAGAGAAUUUUCUCCUCUAGUAAAAAGUAAUAGCAUUUGUUGUCUCUUUUUAGAUAAUAGUAUCCUGUCCUUUUUGUUUAUGCCUUGUUCUUUUUUCUAUAUUUAUUUUUUAUCUUCCCCAUUUAUUUAUCUCCUCCCACCCAGAUUUUUUUUUAUAUGUUGAGUUGAAUUUCAGUGGUAGUCUUAGUUUGUGUCUUAGGGGUGUUAUAGGUCAGAUAAUAUGAAGGAAAACAUAUUAGUUCUUCACUGCAACUACAUUUGCAAUGGCCAUUUGUAACCUUCCCCAUUUUUGUUUCUAAACGAAAUGAAAUGUAGGCUUCUUUUGGUCUUUUCAUUUAAAAAAGCCUUUGCUUCUUUGAUGAUGCUUCACUUGCAGACGGAUUUGACCUGAAGAGAAUACUGCUGUGAUGGGGAAACUAAAUUAAUAGGAAACUUAAGAGAGCAGAGGUUAUUUGAAGUUUCCACCUUUAGGAAGUUCAUAGUUAUUUGCUCUGGUUUGGUUCAGGCUACAAUUCAUAUAUUUCAGUACUUCUUGGCAUCUGCGUUUUUACGAGUUGCUUUGUUUCUCAGGAACCUGCAGUCUAAGUGGUCUUCAGGGUUAUGGUGAAUCAAUAUCUUUACACUGUUUUCUGGGUUUUGUUUGAAAUUAUGUUUUUUUACAAUUGCUCAAAAUGUGAUCUUCACCUUUAUAUUGGGAUGGAAUCCAGUUUUCUUUGGUGCUGCAUCAUCUUCCUGUGGAAAUCCUUGUGGUCAAAGAUAAUGUAUACAAAGGGAAUUAAGGAUGUAAAGUUUUCCUUUGUAUUCCUUGUUCAUUUCUGGUUUAAUAGUCUCAGUUUGUGUUUGGGAGAGUUCAAGUGGAGAUUAAUCAUUUUAUGGGAUGGCAUGAAGGGAAACCCAUUCGUUGUUUCACUGCUGCGGCUCCAUUUGCGUUGGUUAUUUGAAACCUGUCGCAGUCUCUGCUCACAAACGAAAUGUAGACAUUUAGAGGUCUUUUAAUGUGUAAUGCCUCCGAUGCUUGCAGACAGAUUGACAGGAAGAACACAGUGGUUGACAGGGAAACAAAUAAGGUCUUAAGUUUUUUGUGUUUUGGUUUACAAAUUUUUGGUCUUGCUGAACGAGUUUGUUCUCCCUGCCUUUUUAAACAAGUCAAGAUGCUGUCCACCAGUUUCCUUCACUUUCAUGUAAGUUUUUGCAUUAUGAUUAACCUUUCCCAUCCUUGAUUCUGGAUUUUUUAUUUUUCUUAUUUCUUGCCAUCCCAUAUUACGGAUCAAGAUGGAAUUCAAAAGCACUCUGGAUCGAGAAUCACAUAGAAAUUUAACAUAUGCAUCAAUAAAUUUAUUAAAGGGCUGUCGUGUUAUAAUUGGUAACUGCCUCUUUCCAAUCUACUAUUAUUUUGAAUUUUUAAUGUAGGUUUAGAUUUUCAACCACUUUUCGCUUUGGUAUCAAUCACCAGAAUUCGGAGUUGAUUCUACUACAGGGUGUGUUUCGAUCCUGUUUGGUAAAUCUUGAACUCCUUGUGGGAAUUUUAGGAAUCCGAUGUUUGGAUUCAGGUAACAUUUGUGGAUACUGUGGAAUAGUAAGAGUAAUUUUUUCGUGAGUUGGAAAAGUCUGGUUUUGGUUGACGAGUUUAGUCUAUUUAGCUACAGUCAGACUUAUUUUCCAUGUGAAUAAAUUUUGGAGCUUCAUUCAUCAUGCCGAAAUUCGUGUCAAGGUGGAGAUUGUUAGAAUUUGGGUGCGACCCGAAUUCUUUGAUGAAAAUAAUUGAGAGUUUUAAUUAAAGUGCACGUUAAGAAGAAUUUUAAUUGGAAUACUUUUGGAAUCCUAUUCGAAGUCUAUUCACAAAUUCUAGUUGAAGUUCUAUUGGGAGUUGGAAUUUGUGUUGGACUUAAAUAUAUUACGUACUGUUAACGGUCGUCUGUUUUUCUCGUUCAAUUUUUAGAAGCUUUUGUUUGCUUAGAAUUCGUUUGUUGUUUCAUUUGUUUGAAGGUUUUUAGUUAAAUUGGAACCUUUGUGUUUGCAUUUGUCUAUUGGGUAUUUGAAUUGUUUCUAUAGAUUGAUCGAGUUAAAUUUGUGAAUUUCAGUGUGAAAUGAAGGGAACUUAUUCAAUUGCACCAGAGCAGAUAGCACUAAUCAUCAUGUUUUUUAUGCAAUAUAUGCUUAAAUAAGACCGUCCUUAUAGAAAUUGCCCUCAUUAAAGGUUGCUAGCAUGCCUACUGGUUUGUCUAAAGGUAUCACAAGUUGUUUUUGAAGGUAUGAUUGAGGAUAUGGGGCUAAAUAAAUUGAAAGAACGGAGCAAUUCGAAAAGAACAAUCAGGAGGAGGAGGAGGGCGGCAGCUUUUGCGACUCCGAUUAAUGAUAACAUAGUUGCUCCACCAUCAGUAGUGAACGAGAUUAUGAAGGUCCAAAAGCAGGAAGAGAGCAUGUUGGAGAAAACUAGAAAGGAGAGCACAAGUGGGAAAGUGGCCAAUGGAUGAUUAUGGUAGUGGUGGAAAAAGAGUUAACAAGACUAAUGCUGAAAAAUCAACAACUGCUCCUUUCCUGAAAGGGUAAGACCAUUGUCUCAUAUAUUCUUUAUACAUUUACAUGUAUAAGAUCUUUUGGAGUGCUAUAAUUUUAGAUUAUUGUAUUGCAUAUGUAUUUAGAUAAGAUAGAACAAAAAGGGGAUGUCUACACUAAUUGUUUUUUCUCCUUGCAAAGUGCGGUAGUUAAAUAUAGUAUCACAUUAACAUCUACCCGUGUUUUCUCAAAUUUUGGAAAUUUGCCGUAUUUCAAGGGCAGAUUAAUGUAUUCAUCAGAAUAGCAGGCAAAAGGGAAGACGGAUAUCAUCAUUUCGUGCCACUUUUUCAGCCCUCUUCUUUUUCAGGUAAUUAAUCUAAGAGAUAAAAUAAAGUUCUUUUUAUCCCCAUCAAAAUUGAGUGCUCUCUUAUCAACCAAUGCUCCUGGAGUUCCCCUUGAUGACAAAAACCUGGUAAAAGGAAAUCAGUUUAGCAGUUGUGUUGCCACUGAAAAGGAACUCCAACAAUGGUAAGAUGAAAUUAGUUCGUACAUCACAUUUUUUUCUCUCAUGAUGCGGCCUACUAAAUGGGUUGAGGUAUGUUUUUUACAUUUAUGGUGCUCAUAGUCAAACCUCAUUUUUAAGCUUUCUUAUAGUGCAUGCUUGGUUAAACUGAAUAACUUUUUUGCAAGUGAAAGCUCGAUAUUAUUCGGUUAGGAAUUGAUCAAGUAUCGAGUUUUCCAUGUUAAUUGGGGUUUCUCUGGCGAUGACACUUAGUGGAGCACUAGAUGGAUUUACAUCAAGGUGCAAAAUCGAAUAGCAUUUGUAUUCAAUGAUAAGCUCCCGUUGGAUUACUGGAAAAAUCAAAUAGCAGUUGUUUCAGCAUUCUAACCCUUCCAACGUCAAUUUUGGAUGUUGAUAUGGAUGAUAUUUUUCAAAUUGCUCAUUACCUAGAUAUAAAUUAUCCUAACCCUCCCCAUGAAAAUCUAACAAACCCUCUGAAUCCCGACUUUUUCGAUGAGGUUUUGCAAAUUCCUCAAAACUAACCACUAGCGUUAUAUGUUCCUCCUGAAACCCUUUGAUAGAUUCACUGGGAAGUAGGCUCAGAAAUGAGCCGAUAAAUAAAAUCUGGAUUAACCAUAGAAAUUUCUAUCAACAUUUUCCAACCACUUUGAUAGGUAAUACUAUUAUGCAUGAUUUAUGUUCUAAGUUGUAUUUUUCAUUUAUAUAUAUUUUAUUUGUAGGUUUUAGUUUUCAAAUAAAUCAUAGCAUUUUCUAUUUUAUUGCCCCAAUAACGAGGUAUAGCCUAAAUAAAACUAAUUGAUCCAUAAAAGAGGGUGGUAGUUAGGCUCACUCUGGUGGACGGGUGAAACAAAUCAUAGACGGAGGACUUCAAGUUAGAAGUUGGAGGUUAUACCACUAUAAACCUCCCCCGAUCGAUGUCAAUGCCAAUGGAUGCUCAAGAAAGAAUGCACCAUCUACCCACCACACGAGGUUCUCGACACUUAUUUGGAGUAUAUAGCUUUUAUUUAUUAGAUUUUUUUUCCCUUUUUGUGUGUGUAUUAAUUUUUGGUUCCAUUUGCGGAAGAACAACUUUGCUAUGGUGAAGAUACAUAGGUUGCGAUAACUCAGAUGUUGCCGUUUGGGAGUGAUUGCAAGGGCGGCUUUAUGAUUGUGUUUUCAAGUACAACAAAUUUUUAAGUUAACGGUGUAUUUUUUUUUUAUAAAAUGUCGUGGUCAUAUUAGAAAACAUAACACGGAGAAUUGAUUGACAAUUAUCAUAGGGGUCACAUUUAAACUAUUACGAAGUGGUAAUAUUGCAAUUUGUAGUGAUCUCUUUUUAGCCCACCAAUAACUUCAAUCAUUGAGAUUAUACAUUUAGUUAUUUUGGGCUAAUAUUGCAAUUUUAUAUGUUUUGAUGGUUUCUUGGGUCAAGUUUCAAUCUAAAAAAUUGAUCUGCUUGAAAUGACCAACACGUUUUUACUUCAAAGUACACUAUAAAUGACACGCAACUAUAUUUUCCUGAUAUUUCAUCGAUCUUCGUCCACUUGCGAUCCCUUGUUAAGCUUGCAUAUAAAUACAUGAUUAUUUAUGGUUCAACUUUGACCCAAGAUCCCAUCAAAACAUAUUAAAUUGCAAUGUUAGCCCAAAAUAACCAAAUGUAUAAUCUCGGUGACUAAAGUGAAUGGCGAACUAAAGAGAGAUUACCACAAAUUGCAAUAUUACCAUUUCGUAAUAGUUUAAGUGUGACCCCUACGAUAAUAUCAAUUCUCCGUGUUAUGUUCGCCAAUGUGACCAUGACAUUUUGACAAAAACACACUGUUAACCUAAAAAUUCAUUGUACUUGAAAACAUAAUCCUAAAGACGCCCCCUACAAUAACUCUCGAAGGGUGACAUCCAAACUAUUGCGGCCUGUGUAGCUUCAUCACAAUGAAGUUGUUCAUCUGAAAAAAGAUCAAAAAAUCAAUAGACACAAAAAGCAAAAAACAAAAAAUAAUCUAACAUAUAAAAACUAUUUACUUUAAAUUAGCGUCGAGAACCUCGUGUGGUGGUAGACAGUGUAUUCUUUCAUGAGCCAUCUAUUGGCAUUGGCAUCAACAGGGAAAGGUUUAUAGUGGUAUGAUGACCUAUUUUCAACCCGAAGUCCUCUAUCUAUGAUUUGUUUCACCAGUCCACCAGAGUGAAACCAGCUACCACCUCUUCGAUGGCUCAGUUAGUUCUAUUUAGGCUAUACCUCGCUAUUGGGGUAAUAAAAUAGAAAGUGCUAUGAUCUGUUUGAAAACUAAUACCAGCAAAUAAAAUAUUAAUAUAUAUAAAAGAAAAAUAAAACUUAUAUAUUCCAAAAAACAUUGGUGAGCUUAAAAUUUUAACAAACUGACCAAAUAUUGAAAAUUUACCUAAAUCACGCAUAGAAAAGUAUUACCUGCCAAAGUGGUUGGAGAAUGUUGAUAGAAAUUUCUACGGUUGAUCCAGAUUUCAUUCAUUGGCUCAUUUCUGAGCGUCCUUGCCCGUAAAUCUACCAAAAGAAUUUUAGGACGAACGUAUAGUGCUAGUGGUUGAUUUUGAGGAAUUUGCAAAAUCCCAUCAAAAAAGUCGAAAUCUAGAGGGUUUGCUAGGUUUUCAUGGGGAGAGUUUGGAUCAUCUAUUUCUAAAUAAUUAACAAUUUGAAAAAUAUCAUUCAUAUCAACAUGUUCAAAACUGUCGUUAUGAGGGUUAGAAUGCUGAAACAACCACAGAGUUGAUGGCUGUAAAGGAAGGUAAAAUGUAUUUGAAAUUAGUAAGUACAGGUUGUUAGAUACUAAUGCCCAAUCAAGAUCAUUCUCCUUUUUUGUUGAAUGAGUUCAGAGUUUUUGUAGGAGUUUGGAGUUUAGAUUGCUGACCAUCUCAACUUAUUAGCAAGUUUAAAUCUCAAAUUCCAGUGGAGGUUUCAUCUUGCUAAGCAAAUUUCCAACCCCUUGGUAGCAACAUUAAUAUCAUUUCUGGAGCGAAUGAGAGCUUGUCUCACUGAGUUUCUGUCGAAAACCAUUGAAACCAGUGUGGCAAUGGAGUCCUCAGGUGAAUUGAAUGUGGAUGAUGAUCGAGCGGGAUCAAUUCCCUAGAGCCAAAGGAGGAAGAAUUUUUGAAGCAACCAAAAAGAGCAAGUUAAGGCCAUAGAAAUAAAGAAAUUAUUGUUCUAGUAGCUAAAACUUUUUUUUUUCAUUACUAAUAGCUAAAAUUUAACACUACCCUCAACAUACGCAUGGUUAAGAAUAGAAACAGCAAGGUGCACUAAUAGAUAGGAGUGGACAGUAUAAUCAACAAUUGUUCAACUUAGUUUGCUAUUAUUAUACUGCCUAUUACCAUGCAAUUCUCAUUAAAGAACACGUUAUAAAACUAUAUUUGUAACUAUGUAUAUCCAUAAAUGAAUUUGUUGCACAAUAUUUCCUGAUCUGGUUCUAAUAACAUUGGGCAAUACAUACACGAGGGAAACUGCAAGAAAGUACCAACAGCAGGACACACACUAUUGCAUCCCUCUCCGAUACAUUCCAAGCCAACCCCUCAAAAAAAAACCUAGUCUCCUUAUUCCGUGAGCUAGGUCUAUGCUCUCUACUUCUCUCGUCGCCAAGAAAGGGAAAAAACCAGAGUAUGUGGUGAAUUUUAAACAAAAGUUUACUCUCUCUCGCCCACUGUCUCCCUAGUGUUGAAUAGGCAAGAAGAAGAAAAAUGAGGGGUGAUUUUGACCAAGUUGAAGUCCAUUUGACUAGUUUAGAAAGAUAAGAAUGGCUUUCCCAGUAAAGAUGUUUUAAGACAUUUUCCACUAAAAAAAGGACUUCUAAACAAAAAAAUAUAAAAUAAUAAUAAAUCUAAUUUUCACCAUGCACAUUGUAAAGUCAUUUUCAAUAAUUCUCCAUAAUAAUACUUGCCUCCACUUGUAGACCUGCAUAUGUUGGAGAAUUUUCCACAACAUUCCUACCCUGUCCCGUUGGUGGUGCACUCCCCACGGAAGGCCAAGAAAGUCAUGAGACAAAUUCUGAAAAUAGAAAGAUGCAAAAGUCAUGGAUAGCUUCAAGAAAUAUCACAGAAUUGGAAAAACCAACCUUGGGUAAAUUUCAUCUUGGUUGAUUUUUGGUUUAAAACUUAUUAUUUUGAGGUGGUGUUGAUGUUCAUCUUCAUAUCACAGAAUUGGAAAAACCAACCUUAGGUAACUUUCAUCUUGGUUGAUUUCUGGUUUAAAAACUUAUUAUUUUGAGGUGGCGUUGAUGUUCAUCUUCAUAUGGCUAGAUUUGAAGAGGCUAUUGCAGAUACUUUAGAUUAAUCAUCUAGUAUUUGUUGUUGAUAGCGGUAACCAUUCCAUUGCAGAACCUCUUUCUAACUACGAGAAGCCAUUUGAUUUAUUUGCCAAAGAGAGGCACCUCUCACAAAUUGAGGGUUUUAAUUAGAAUGUUAAGCUUUUACUUGAAUUCCAGUAGCCCCUUCCAAGUGCAAAUGUUUCUCUUUUUCUUGAUGUUCGGAUUAUCUGCUCUAUAAUAUUUGCUUUGGGAGCAAUUCUCCUUAGUUAGAAUCUUAAGAAGCGUUUCUUCAUGACUAUUUUUCCACCGGAGGCAAUUUUAAGAAGCACACUUUUCAAGAUUUGUUAAAAGUCAAUUACAUUUUACAAUUGUUACUUCCUCUGAUGAAUAUUUUGAAUGACUCUCAGUAACUCGAUAUUAAUAAUUUUGCUGGUUUGUUCACAUGCUUACAUGUUAGGUUGCGUUGCUUGCCUUACAAUUCCAAGUAUUGCUUUCACCAAGGUGCUUUAUGUUUUAGGGUAAAGUUGGAUUCUUUUUCAGCUUACUGAGAACUGAUGAACUUUCUAACUUGCCAUUUGAUAUAUUACGGAGAUGAACUUAGGUUAGAUAAUAGCCACUCAGUAACGUUCGUGGCGGCUGGACAUAUAAUUUCACAACUUGGGACUGCAUCAGAUGCACACUAAAUGUUGGAGGCUUGAAUCUUGUUCUCACUUUUAGUGUAUAUUGUUGCAUUGAUGCUAUUGAAUUCAAUUUUCUAUCUACCUUUUUUGGUCUACUCGUGUGUCUGGCUUUGCUUGUGGGGAACAAGAGUAAUCACCAGUCCAAAGAAGGGGACAAAGUCAUGGUCCUUUAUAUUUUUGGACACCAGCACUAUCUCCUAAGCUUUGUUUGCUGGAGAAGAAUGAUGCCACGUAUAACCUUGUGACUAUCGACCGUCAGAAAUAUAUGAUACAUGCACCAUUGGUCUGUCACCCAAUUACUGGAUUGGAAAGUAUCCGCUCAGUGAUGUUCGGCUGCUGGACUGUAAUAAUUCACAGCUUGGGACUGCAUCAGACGCACACUAAAUGUAGGAGGUUUGAAUCUUGUUGGGACUUUUCGUGUAUGCUGUUGCAUUGAUGCCGGUAAUUCAAUUGUCCUUCUACCUUUUUUGGUCUAUCCUUGGUAUAAUAUUGGUCAAUGUGUCUGGCUUUGCUUCUCAGGUACACGAGUCAUCAAUUAGUCAAAAGAAGGGGAUAAAGGCAAAGGCAUGGUCCUUUAUAUUUUUGGACAAAGCUUUGUUUACUGGAGAGGAAAGAUGCUGCGUUUUACCUUGUAACUAUUUACUGUCAAAAAUAUAUGAUUACUUGCAUAAUUACCUCAUAAUUCUAUCAUACUGACACAUAAACCUUGUUGAUGUUCAACUUGACUUUUUGGUCUACUUGGCAUUGUUCUCAUAUCUUCUUUUUUUUCUAUAUUUCUUCCAACCUUCAGAAGUUCAUAUGUUUUUGUUCUGGUUUGGGGCAGACCACUGUUCCUGAUGUCUUGGUACUACUUGACAUCAGCCUUUUUUAAGAGUUGCUCUGUUCCUUGGGAACCUGCUGUCUAAGUGGUCUUCAAGGUGGUGGUGAAGCAAUAUCUUUACAUUGUUUUCUGGGUGAAACUGAUUUUUUCCCAGUUGCAUGGAAUGUGAUCUUCAUUCUUAUACGAAUCCAUUUUCUUAGUGCUGGUUCAUCUGCCGAUAGAAAUCCUCGUGGUCAAAGAUAUACGUCUUCUCUCCACUUUCCAAGGUAAGCUAGAAAUAGAUUGAAAUUAUGUCAACUGUUAAUUCACAUAAAAAAUGUCAACACUUGCCUUUGUAACUCUAAGAUUUGUUUUAAGGUGCGAUAACCUUUGAUUGUUCAGUUGGGAGCCAGCAGGAUCAAAGUUGGCUGCAUGUUCUUUGUAUCUAUGCUGACUGCUCUUAUUUGCAAUUCCUCUUCAUUUCUCCUUUCUUCAAGAUAUAGAAUAUAGUUCACUUGGUAUAAAUGAUAUGAUUCUGAAACAUGGUAAUGGAGAUUGCUUUAUCCUCUGAUGAUAUUUGUAAGUCGAUAUUCCAUCCUGGCCAUUUCUGUAUAUGGUUCAAUUCAGUUCUCCCCGUGUCAACAGUUCUGUUUGGUUGAUUCCUUCUUUAAAUACAUUAUAUAUAUUCUGAGGGUUACAGAGGAUGUUCCUGUUGCUAGAUUUGAAGAACCUGUAGCAGAUAUCUAUAUGAUUAAUCAGCUUCAUUUGCUGUUGACAGCAAAAACAGUUUCAUUGCAGAAUCUCUCUUUCCAAAGACAGCAAAACUUAUUUGAUUCAUUUGCCAAUGAUCUUUCUUGACACAAUUAAGGGUGUAAUUAGUGUGUUUCGUGCAGUCUUUUAUUUAGUUGGCUCUCAUUUCAGCAGUUGAUUUCCAUUUGAGGACAAGUUUCAGAGUUUAUGGAUGUUCAGAUCCUCUGCUUUGUAGUAUUUGCUUUGGGAGCAACCCCACCCACGUCGAAUUCCUAAUAAGAAGUUUUGUCAUGACAAAUUUACAUUGGACACAGUGGGAGGCUUGCAAAGCAUUUAUUUUUUGGACAACAAAUGCAUACGAGUGAAAUCUUUAAUAUCAGGUAGUGACCUCAUUUCCUUAGCAAUCUUCUCAAACCUAGUUAUGACUAUGAAGUGGCUUAAACUACCAUUGGGGUUUUGUUUCUCUAUCUAGAUUAUGAAAUACCACAGCUCUUAUCACUAGAUGGAUUUCAAGAAAGUCAACAAAGGUGGAGAAUUCAGUGAAAAAAGGCUGUCUUUAGGAAUAUAUGUUACAAGGUCCGAAAGGUUUGUGUCGGGAACCCACCCAAUUCAUAGAAAUAGAAGGAUGGCAGCCAUUAACUCCUCAUUCCUUGACACGAAGACCGAGGUAGGGGGAAAAAAUGAAAACUGGUGGUCAAAUAGAGUGAAAUUGGGUAUUUUCCCAGUAAUUAAUUCCGUAACUGCAUUCUCAACAUAGAAGAAAAUAAUUCUUGGCUUGCUUAUGAAGAAAUUGGCAUUAACAAGACAACUUGUUGUCCCAAAAAAACAAGCAAAAGCUACCAAGAUGCAGGACCGAACUAUGUAUUUGAUGUUAUGAGAUAACAAUGACUUUUGUUUCCACUUUAUAUCUUCUUAGAGACAAAAUGCUUUGUUAAUCCAUGCAUAAGAAUAUAUCUGCACAAUAAUUUAUUUGGACAUACAGUAGCCGUAGCAGGAAAUUUUGUCCACAAAAUCCAGUGCAACUGCCCCCACUUGGCCUCAAGGGCAGCUCUGCCUCAGGUUGAGAAACAGGCUCUGGAGAUGUGUAAGAAAAGUGAUAUCUGUUACUUCCACACUUGAAGAUGCUUCAUAACUUUCCAGUAACUUCAGUUUGGUGGCUGUCCAAACAUGCUUACAUGUGUACGUUAAAUAUUGCUUGUGGAAAAGCUUUACAAUUUAGAGUACUGCUGUCACCAAGGUGUUUAUGUUUGCAGCUAAUGUGGACUCUUUUGCAGCCUACUGAUAACUGAUAAAUUUUCUGUUAGCUAUGAAUUAUUCAUGCCAACAUUGUGAGAUAUGGUGGCACCUGGAGUCCCAAUCUAAGCUGUUUUGAUUCAUAUCUAGUGGCUGCAUCAGAUGAUACUGACUGUAGGAGGCUUGAAUCUUAUCGGUGCUAGUGGUAUUUAUUGCAUUAACCCUACUGAAAUAAUAUUUUCUUGUGUUGUAUCUGAGUACACACAGCAUGGUUAGUUAUAUUAAUUGCUCAGCUUAUACUAACUAUAACCAGCACCAUCCAAGCAUGGGAUCAGGGACACAAGUGGUACAUGACUGACCUCAUCAACUUUAUCUUGAGCAAAGGUUUAAUUACUCACCAUUAGAAAAAGGGACAAAGUUAGUGUCCUGGGUGUUGACCUUGGGUACCAGCAUCAAGUCCUAAGCUUUCUUUACUGAAGAAGAAAGAGGCAUUUGACCCUGGGACCAUGUAAGCUGUUUGCUACAUAAUAAGCAAUUGUGAGGAAACAUGCUCAUUAUUGCUCUGACAUACGAGCUCCAAGCAUCUCUGAGAACUGUCCAAACCAACAAAAGGAAACUAAAGUGCCUCUGUAAAGCACUAUCUGAAUCACAUUCAAAUCAAUAAUUGUAUUACAUUGAUGACGACUGGCAAAUACGAGGUUACUAAAGGUGUUUGGUACGCAGUUUUGUUUGCAUCAAAGUCUGUUAAAUUUAGUUCAUAAUCUGUCUAACUUAAGCAGUGAACUCAAUGCUAAAGUGCCUCAUGCCUCACUCCAACGGCUGCAUUUUUCUGCUCUUUUCUCGUGAAAUUUGAUAUUCGUUGGUAGAAGUUUGAAAUAUCAGGUAUGAUGGGAUAUCUUGCAGUGAGAUUAAAGUUUAGAUAUCUAUUGCAUGGAUUGAAGAUUGCACUUCAGAUAAUAAUACUUUAGUAGUUCCUUGCCCUUUUGCAUUUUGAUCAAAAUUAUGCUGAAGUUUUAUAGUGAGGAUGAAAUGCUGAAAGAUAAGCAAUUUAUUUAUGACAUGUUAAAGCCAUUGGUUACUGAUAUAUAUGAUAUUAUGAUAAAACUGGAUCAAGACGUGGUCAAUAGCGUCUGGGUGGUGGUAUGGUUACAGUUAACGUUUCAUUCUACAGAGCGUCGUUCUUUGAGGUGAGUGGUUAUCGAUCUUCCUUUUCUUUAGAUUCCAUAUCUAACUCCUUUUCUUCUGUUUUUAGUUUUGCAGAAUGUAUUAUUUUUUCCCCAUUACUAUUUUGUGUUCAUCGGAAAUGGUACCGUCUAGUUAUGAUUAUUUAAUAGACCUAUAACUGUGGUUUAAUUGUUUUCAAUUUGCAAUUUGGGUUCUUAACUUGUUGGUAAAUUUGUCUAAUUGUGUUUUGCGAGAAGCCUAAGAUUGGAUUGUAGUUGAGGGAGGACUGUGCUGGUCGUCUGAGGUGACCUCAUACAUGACGAUAAUAGAAAUGUCUCUUGGCUGGAGGUUGAUGAAACUCUUAUUCUUGGGUAUGUUACUUGAUUCAAUUGAGAUUCAAAUGUGGUCUUUUAUGGAAAAUAAGUUGUCCCAGUUCUUUUAUGUUAUAUUUAGUUCCUCUACCAUCGUGAUAUGUUUUAGUUUAACACAGUUUCCAAAGAAAUUUAUUUUGUAAGGCACUUGAUAGGAAAUGCCUUAGGUGUUGAAGUGGAUUUCUUAUCUUUAUCAUCAGGUCGAAAGUGUGGAAUAUGUAUGUACUUUCAUGAUAAUGUUGGGUGCAAUAUCAUGAAUACAAAUAGCUAUCUGUAUCUUGAUGGUACAUGUAGGAAAUUGAAGCUUGGAAGUAUUCUACCUGGUGAUUAACAAGAUUGUUAUGUAAUGUGAGUGAAGUAGUUGCAGCUAUGCUACAAACGUAGUUUUUGAAAUGUCUUUGUUUGGUACUUAAUUAUGUGAAUUUAAUUAGUCUUCCUGAUUAUCAUAAAUGAUUUUAUUUCCCUCUUGCAUUUUUGGUUCAUAGUCAAAUGCUGCCUAGAUCCCAAAGAAACAUAAGGAGUUGGUAGAAUUAUAAAGGAAUGCUUGGAACUACUAUCAUUUUACCAAUAUUUUCCCUCCAUUUCACAAUUCUCUCAGUUUUAGAAUCUCUCUUUUCAUAAUAAUUUGAAUAUUUGCUUAGCAUAAUUUUUUGCAAGUGUUUAUAAACAGAUGAAAAUGAGUAAUAGAUAGUACUUAUAGGUCUUACGAAAUAUGCACUAUUAUACCCAUGUAGUAUGUUUGUAGAACUCCACUUAGAGUUCCCACGCAGGUUAUGUAGGGUUGAUUGCCAACUAGUUUUAGUAGUUGAGAUAUCAACAAAGAAAGAAAAUGUAGAGGGGAAAGAUUUAACAUAGUUUAUGGAUAGUGGCUGUAAUUCAAUGGUUUGGUGUUAGGAUGCAUGUUGCAUUGUUGCUUCAUUCUGUGUCGGUUUUGGUCUAGGUAGUAGACUCUUUUAACUCCGCCUAUGUUGCAUGUUCGCUUGAUACAGCCGGUCCCAAGCGCGAUAAAAGAGGAGGGAUGAGCUGACAUAUGGUGCAGUUGCCAUAUGGAUAAAGAUCUCGUGUGGAGUAUUUUUAAUGUUCUCACGUCUCGAUUUAGUCAUUUCGAGUAUGUGAUUGAUUCUGCAAUUAAUAGUUUUCUUAUACUAAUCGCCUUUUUUGAUUGCACAUAUUUUCUCAAUGAUCGGAUUGGUUAUAUGGUUAUAUCGUUUGGAUUCAUGGAAAGAUUGAUCAUUUAUUCAAAAGUUGUAUGAUAACUUGGAUUCA